rnacentral:rRNA from 1 species
UACGAAGGGGGCUAGCGUUGUUCGGAAUUAUUGGGCGUAAAGGGCGCGUAGGCGGCUUGGCAAGUGGAUGGUGAAAUCCCUCGGCUUAACCGAGGAACUGCCGUCCAAACUGCUUCGCUUGAGACCGGGAGAGGUGAGUGGAAUUCCCAGUGUAGCGGUGAAAUGCGUAGAUAUUGGGAGGAACACCAGUGGCGAAGGCGGCUCACUGGACCGGUACUGACGCUGAUGCGCGAAAGCGUGGGGAGCAAACAGG